GAUCCGUAACUUCGGGAUAAGGAUUGGCUCUGAAGAUUGAGAUAGUCGGGCUUGAUUUGGAAGCAAUAAUAUGGUUUAUGUACUCGUUCUGGGUAAAUAGAGAUUUUCGGAUCUUGUUCCUCGGAUAGCAGUUACGUAACCAAUUGUGGAACUUUCUUGCUAAAAUUUUUAAGGGAUUAUCGCAAGAUAUAUUCUUUUUAAAUUAUAACGAUUAUCAAUUAACAAUCAAUUCAGAACUGGCACGGACUUGGAGAAUCCGACUGUCUAAUUAAAACAAAGCAUUGUGAUGGCCCUAACGGGUGUUGACACAAUGUGAUUUCUGCCCAGUGCUCUGAAUGUCAAAGUGAAGAAAUUCAAGUAAGCGCGGGUAAACGGCGGGAGUAACUAUGACUCUUGUUCUUGCUACGGCAGAACAUAUACUAAAAUUGGAACGAUACAGAGAAGAUUAGCAUGGCCCCU
rnacentral:ncRNA from 1 species